UAUACAUGCAAGUCGAACGCGUUGGCCCAAUUGAUUGAUGGUGCUUGCACCUGAUUGAUUUUGGUCGCCAACGAGUGGCGGACGGGUGAGUAACACGUAGGUAACCUGCCCAGAAGCGGGGGACAACAUUUGGAAACAGAUGCUAAUACCGCAUAACAGCGUUGUUCGCAUGAACAACGCUUAAAAGAUGGCUUCUCGCUAUCACUUCUGGAUGGACCUGCGGUGCAUUAGCUUGUUGGUGGGGUAACGGCCUACCAAGGCGAUGAUGCAUAGCCGAGUUGAGAGACUGAUCGGCCACAAUGGGACUGAGACACGGCCCAUACUCCUACGGGAGGCAGCAGUAGGGAAUCUUCCACAAUGGGCGCAAGCCUGAUGGAGCAACACCGCGUGAGUGAAGAAGGGUUUCGGCUCGUAAAGCUCUGUUGUUAAAGAAGAACACGUAUGAGAGUAACUGUUCAUACGUUGACGGUAUUUAACCAGAAAGUCACGGCUAACUACGUGCCAGCAGCCGCGGUAAUACGUAGGUGGCAAGCGUUAUCCGGAUUUAUUGGGCGUAAAGAGAGUGCAGGCGGUUUUCUAAGUCUGAUGUGAAAGCCUUCGGCUUAACCGGAGAAGUGCAUCGGAAACUGGAUAACUUGAGUGCAGAAGAGGGUAGUGGAACUCCAUGUGUAGCGGUGGAAUGCGUAGAUAUAUGGAAGAACACCAGUGGCGAAGGCGGCUACCUGGUCUGCAACUGACGCUGAGACUCGAAAGCAUGGGUAGCGAACAGGAUUAGAUACCCUGGUAGUCCAUGCCGUAAACGAUGAGUGCUAGGUGUUGGAGGGUUUCCGCCCUUCAGUGCCGGAGCUAACGCAUUAAGCACUCCGCCUGGGGAGUACGACCGCAAGGUUGAAACUCAAAGGAAUUGACGGGGGCCCGCACAAGCGGUGGAGCAUGUGGUUUAAUUCGAAGCUACGCGAAGAACCUUACCAGGUCUUGACAUCUUGCGCCAACCCUAGAGAUAGGGCGUUUCCUUCGGGAACGCAAUGACAGGUGGUGCAUGGUCGUCGUCAGCUCGUGUCGUGAGAUGUUGGGUUAAGUCCCGCAACGAGCGCAACCCUUGUUACUAGUUGCCAGCAUUAAGUUGGGCACUCUAGUGAGACUGCCGGUGACAAACCGGAGGAAGGUGGGGACGACGUCAGAUCAUCAUGCCCCUUAUGACCUGGGCUACACACGUGCUACAAUGGACGGUACAACGAGUCGCGAACUCGCGAGGGCAAGCAAAUCUCUUAAAACCGUUCUCAGUUCGGACUGCAGGCUGCAACUCGCCUGCACGAAGUCGGAAUCGCUAGUAAUCGCGGAUCAGCAUGCCGCGGUGAAUACGUUCCCGGGCCUUGUACACACCGCCCGUCACACCAUGAGAGUUUGUAACACCCAAAGUCGGUGGGGUAACCUUUUAGGAGCCAGCCG
rnacentral:rRNA from 1 species